rnacentral:rRNA from 1 species
CUUUAAGCAUAUCAAUAAGCGGAGGAAAAGAAACCAACAGGGAUUGCCCCUAGUACGCGCGAGUGAAGCGGCAACAGCUCAAAUUUGAAAUCUGGCCUCACGGUCCGAGUUGUAAUUUGUAGAGGAUGCUUCUGGCGACGUGCCUUCCGAGUUCCCUGGAACGGGACGCCAUAGAGGGUGAGAGCCCCGUCCGGUCGUGCACCUAGCCUCUGUGAAGCUCCUUCGACGAGUCGAGUAGUUUGGGAAUGCUGCUCUAAAUGGGAGGUAUACGUCUUCUAAAGCUAAAUACCGGCCAGAGACCGAUAGCGCACAAGUAGAGUGAUCGAAAGAUGAAAAGCACUUUGAAAAGAGGGUUAAAUAGUACGUGAAAUUGCUGAAAGGGAAGCGCUUAUGACCAGACUUGGGCUCGGUGAAUCAUCCGGCGUUCUCGCCGGUGCACUUUGCCGUCCCAGGCCAGCAUCAGUUCGCGCCGGGGGAUAAAGGUUUCGGGAAUGUAGCUCCCUCGGGAGUGUUAUAGCCCGUUGCGUAAUACCCUGGCGUGGACUGAGGUCCGCGCUCUGCAAGGAUGCUGGCGUAAUGGUCAUCAGUGACCCGUCUUGAAACACGGACCAAGGAGUCGUCUUCGUAUGCGAGUGUUCGGGUGUCAAACCCCUACGCGUAAUGAAAGUGAACGUAGGAGAGAGCUUCGGCGCAUCUCCGACCGAUCCUGAUGUUCUCGGAUGGAUUUGAGUAAGAGCAUACGGGGCCGGACCCGAAAGAAGGUGAACUAUGCCUGUAUAGGGUGAAGCCAGAGGAAACUCUGGUGGAGGCUCGCAGCGGUUCUGACGUGCAAAUCGAUCGUCAAAUAUGGGCAUGGGGGUCGAAAGACUAAUCGAACCUUCUAGUAGCUGGGUUUCCGCCGAA